rnacentral:rRNA from 1 species
GUCUGUUGUAAACGGCGGCGUUAACGUGAGCGUCCUAAGGUAGCGCGAUAAUUUGCUUUUCAAUUGAAGGAUGGUAUGAAAGGGUUAACGAAGAAGGUGCUGUGUCUAAAAAUUCAAUUUAAACUAACUUUAAGGUGAAGAGGCCUUUAUGUAAAAGAAGGACGACAAGACCCUAUGAAGCUUUAUCUUAAUUGGAGCUCUCAGGCUCUUAUACGAUUUUGAUGGGAGAUCAGUAGAAAGAAGUCUUCUACUAUCAUAUCAAUCUUACUAGUAUUUCCUAACUUUAUAUGUGUGGCUAGCUACUCUAGGGAUAACAGCGCAAUUUCUCCCGAAAGAUGGUAUUGGAGGGGAAGAUUGCGACCUCGAUGUUGGCUUUAGAUAUCCUAGAGGCGUAGAAGCUUCU